UACGGGGGGGUGCGAGCGUUGUCCGGAAUCACUGGGCGUAAAGGGCGCGUAGGUGGCCUGAUAAGGGUGUGGUGAAAGUCCGGGGCUCAACCCCGGAUCUGCCGUGCCGACUGUUGGGCUGGAGUACUGUAGGGGCAGGCGGAAUUCCGGGUGUAGCGGUGGAAUGCGUAGAGAUCCGGAGGAAGACCGGUGGCGAAGGCGGCCUGCUGGGCAGUUACUGACACUGAGGCGCGACAGCGUGGGGAGCAAACAGG
rnacentral:rRNA from 1 species